AUUGAACGCUGGCGGCAGGCCUAACACAUGCAAGUCGAGCGAGCGGCGGACGGGUGAGUAAUGUAUGGGGACUGCCCGAUAGAGGGGGAUAACUAGGGGAAACGGUGGCUCAUACCGCAUAAUAUCGGAAACCCCAUAUUGGAUUAGCUAGUAGGUUGGGUAAAGGCUCACCUAGGAGACGAGCUCUAGCUGGUCUGAGUGGAUGAUCAGCCAAACUGGGAAUUAGACACGGCCCAGACUCCUACGGAGGCAGCAGGGGGGAAUAUUGCACUAUGGGCGCAAGCCUGAUGCAGCCAUGCCGCGUGUAUGAAGAAGGCCUUAGGGUUGUAAAGUACUUUCAGCGGGGAGGCGUUACCCGCAGAAGAAGCACCGGCUAACUCCGUGCCAGCAGCCGCGGUAAUAC
rnacentral:rRNA from 1 species